rnacentral:rRNA from 1 species
GAAAGUAAGUAAGGGCGUAUGGGGGAUGCCUAGGCUCUUGGAGGCUAAGAAGGACGUGGUAAGCUGCGAAAAGCUGCGGGGAUUUGCAAACGAGACUCGAUCCGCAGAUAUCCGAAUGGGACAACCCGGCAGGUAGAAGACCUGUCACACCGCGAGGUGAGCUAACCCUCUGAACUGAAACAUCUAAGUAGGAGGAGGAAAAGAAAGAAACAUCGAUUUCCAAAGUAGCGGCGAGCGAAAUGGAAGAAGCCCAAACCGAUAUUGUUACGGCAAUAUCGGGGUUGUAGGACUGCAAUAUUCAAUUAACAAUGAACUGGAAUGGUCUGGAAAGUCCAUCCAUAGAGAGUGAAAGGCUCGUACAGGUAAGUUUGUUAUGCGAAAGCAGUAUCCUGAGUAUGGCGGGACACGAGGAAUCCUGUCAGAAUCAGCCGGGACCACCCGGUAAGGCUAAAUACUCCCAAGAGACCGAUAGUGGACCAGUACUGUGAAGGAAAGGUGAAAAGAACCCCGAACAGGGGAGUGAAAUAGAACCUGAAACCAUACGCUUACAACCGGUCGGAGCAGCUUCGUGCUGUGACGGCGUGCCUAUUGAAUAAUGAGCCUACGAGUUACUAAUCACUAGCGAGGUUAAGUGCAAGGAUGCACGGAGCCGAAGCGAAAGCGAGUCUGAACAGGGCGUUUAGUUAGUGGUUGUAGACGCGAAACCUUGCGAUCUACCCUUGAGCAGGUUGAAGGUUGGGUAAAACCAACUGGAGGACCGAACGAAUAAGCGUUGAAAAGCUUCUCGAUGACUUGAGGGUAGGGGUGAAAGGCUAAUCAAGCUGGGAAAUAGCUCGUACUCCCCGAAAUGCCUUUUGGGGCAGCGUUGUAAUAAAGAGUCUACUGGAGGUAGAGCUACUGAUUGGAUGCGGGGGCUUCACCGCCUACCAAAUCCUGACAAACUCCGAAUGCCAGUAGUAUGAUUUACAGCAGUGAGUGACUGGGUGCUAAUGUCCAGUCGCAAAAGAGGAACAACUCAGACCAGCAACUAAGGUCCCGAAGAAUAUGCUAAGUUGAUCUAACGAUGUUUUGUUGCAGAGACAGCUAGGAUGUUAGCUUGGAAGCAGCUAUUCAUUCAAAGAGUGCGUAACAGCUCACUAGUCGAGCGACAGAGCGUGGAUAAUAAACGGGCAUCAAGCAUAUCACCGAAGUUCUGGGCGCGAGAGCGCGGUAGGGGAGCAUUCCAUUCAGCGUCGAAGCAGUUUCGUGAGGAAUUGUGGAGCGUAUGGAAAAGCAAAUGUAGGCAUGAGUAACGAUAAUGCGGGAGAGUAACCCGCACACCGCAAGACCAAGGUUUCCUGAUCAACGCUAAUCGGAUCAGGGUUAGUCGGGUCCUAAGGGUAAGCCGAACGGCGAUCUCGAUGGAUAAUCGGUUAAUAUUCCGAUACUAACAUAUACCUCGAUGGAGAGACGAAGGAACGUAAGUGCCGCCACCUGACGGAAUAGGUGGUUAAAGGGCGUAGAUAUAGGGGCAGAUUAAGAGUUAGUCCUUGCUGAAACCUGACAGUACAGAGAGCCUACGGGCAAUUUGAUAGAGCACCCAAGUCGACUUCCGAGAAAAUCUUCUAAGUUAUAGUAUAUGUUACCCGUACCGUAAACCGACACAGGUGGUCGAGGAGAGUAUCCUAAGGUGCUCGAGUGAAUCACGGUUAAGGAACUAGGCAAAUUAACCCCGUAACUUCGGGAAAAGGGGUCCCUAUGAAAGUAGGGCGCAGCGAAGAGGUCCAGGCGACUGUUUAUCAAAAACACAGGGCUCUGCAAAUUCGAAAGAAGACGUAUAGGGCCUGACACCUGCCCGGUGCUGGAAGGUUAAGAGGGGAUGUCAUCGCAAGAGAAGCAUUGAAUCGAAGCCCCAGUAAACGGCGGCCGUAACUAUAACGGUCCUAAGGUAGCGAAAUUCCUUGUCGGGUAAGUUCC